rnacentral:rRNA from 1 species
AGCGAACGCUGGCGGCAGGCCUAACACAUGCAAGUCGAACGAAAUCUUCGGACUUAGUGGCGGACGGGUGAGUAACACGUGGGAACGUGCCUUUAGGUUCGGAAUAGCUCCUGGAAACGGGUGGUAAUGCCGAAUGUGCCCUUCGGGGGAAAGAUUUAUCGCCUUUAGAGCGGCCCGCGUCUGAUUAGCUAGUUGGUGAGGUAAUGGCUCACCAAGGCGACGAUCAGUAGCUGGUCUGAGAGGAUGACCAGCCACAUUGGGACUGAGACACGGCCCAAACUCCUACGGGAGGCAGCAGUGGGGAAUCUUGCGCAAUGGGCGAAAGCCUGACGCAGCCAUGCCGCGUGAAUGAUGAAGGUCUUAGGAUUGUAAAAUUCUUUCACCGGGGACGAUAAUGACGGUACCCGGAGAAGAAGCCCCGGCUAACUUCGUGCCAGCCGCCGCCGUAACAC